rfam:Candidatus Curtissbacteria bacterium RBG_13_35_7 RBG_13_scaffold_1907, whole genome shotgun sequence.
AGGUAUAUUAUCUAGAAUCCAAAGACCGUAGGGGCUAAAUUGCUUAAUAAACCUACGUAGGGCGCACAAUAUAUUUAUGACAAAUUGCGUUUCUUUGGAAACGCUUUUUUUAUGAUUUU